CCCAAACCCCAUUGGGGGUCCCCAAAACCCCAUAGGUGACCCCAAGUCUCAUUGGGGGUCCCCAAAACCCAAUGGGGGGGUCCUCCAACCCCCAUAAGUGACCCCAAAUCCCAUUGGGGGUCCCCUAACCCCAUAGGUGACCCCAAAUCCCAUAGGUGACCCCAAACCCCAUUGGAGGAGCCCAAACCCCAUAAGUGACCCCAAAUCCCAUUAGGGGUCCCCAAAUCCCACUGGGGGUCCCCAGCCCCAUAAGUGACCCCAAAUCCCCAUUAGGGGUCCCCAAAUCCCAAUGGGGGUCCCGAAAUCCCAUUGGGGGUCCCCCAGCCCCAUAAGUGACCCCAAAUCCCCAUUAGGGGUCCCCAAAUCCCAAUGGGGGUCCCGAAAUCCCAUUGGGGGUCCCCCAGCCCCAUAAGUGACCCCAAAUCCCAAUGGGGGUCCCCAAAACCCCAUAGGUGACCCCAAACCCCAUAAGUGAACCCAAACCCCAUUGGGGGUCCCCAAAACCCCAUAGGUGACCCCAAACCCCAUAAGUGACCCCUAAUCCCAUUGGAGGACCCCAAAACCCCAUUAGGGGUCCCCAAAUCCUAUGGGGGGUCCUCCAGCCCCAUAAGUGACCCCAAAUCCCCAUAAGUGACCCCAAAUCCCAUUGGAGGACCCCAAAACCCCAUAGGUGACCCCAAAUCCCAUUAAGGGUCCCCAAACCCCAUAGGAGACCCCAAAUCCCAUUGGGGGUCCCCAAACCCCAUAAGUGACUCCAAAUCCCAUUGGGGGUCCCCCAGCCCCAUAAGUGACCCCAAACCCCAUUGCUGCCCCCAUCCCGGCCCUUUUAGGGUGGAUUGGGGUUGGGAUCCGGGAUGGGGCCCCCCCCCAAACCCCGCUGUGGGGCUGCGCCCACGCUCUGCUCCUGGAGGAGCUGCUGGGCCCCGACCUCCCCCCCGGGGCACCCAUGGGUGCUGCGCUGAGAGCCCUGCAGCAGCGCCUGCGUCGCUGUCCUCCCGGCUCGGUGCCCUGGGCGACAUUGGCUGAAAUCUCCGGCCUCUGGGCGACGCUGGGCCCCGCCUUCCUGCGAGGAUUGGAGGCUGCUGGUUGGUCGACGCGACGCCAUCAGCUGGCAGACGACGAAUGGCGGCUCCAGUGGGCGGGGCCUCACGCGGAAAGCCACGCCCACACUGCCGCCGC